GGUCCUGGUUUACAAACUCACUACAAUAAAGUUGCCAAAUACCCUUCCUUCCCAGCACUAUGAAGAAAACCUUUCACGUUCAUAUGAACAGGCAGCUGCCAGAGAAAAAAGAUGAGAGGGAAACCAGAGGCUUUUGCUACCCUCUCACAGAGUCUCUCACAGCAUUGAACUAAUGAGUGCUUCUUAAGUAUGUUUUUGAAAUUGAACUGCAAACAGCCUUCUGCCUGUUCCCUCAAUUCAGGUUUCAAAUGAAUCACCUGAAGCAGGAAUAAUAGAGGAGAAUAAAGUGGAUAAAAUAUAUGGAUUAAUGUAUAAAAGGAUAAGAGCUGAACAUGCAGUAAUAGCAUUGGGAUGGAAGGAUAAGAAGAAAUGGACUAUUUCGAAAUGGCUAGAGUAUAUUGGGAACAAAUUCAACUGGACAUUUUCGAGAUAAUGGGAAGAAAUAAUUUAUGGCAAGAAAAACAGAGAGAAAUUUAGAAGAUAUGGACACAAUUCGUGGAUUGGGUGAAAGAAGCUGGAGUCAAAGAAGAAAUAUGGGAGUACAAAGAAUGAACCUACUACUGC